UACGUAGGGGGCGAGCGUUGUCCGGAUUCAUUGGGCGUAAAGAGCUCGUAGGCGGCUUGGCAAGUCGGGUGUGAAAACUUCAGGCUCAACCUGGAGCGGCCACCCGAUACUGCCAUGGCUUGAGUCCGGUAGGGGACCACGGAAUUCCUGGUGUAGCGGUGAAAUGCGCAGAUAUCAGGAGGAACACCGGUGGCGAAGGCGGUGGUCUGGGCCGGCACUGACGCUGAGGCACGAAGGCCAGGGGAGCAAACGGG
rnacentral:rRNA from 1 species